rnacentral:lncRNA from 1 species
GACGACGGACGCGACGGGGAAGACGGCGGUGACGCCGUGGUCGCACCGCGUCGACGACGCGGCGGCGGCGGCGGAUGAGGAGAUUCGCGUCGCGUUGGCCGCGGGCGACGCGCUUCUGUUGGACGGGCGGACGACGCACCGCGGGCUCGCGAACACGUCGAACAGGAGCGAGAAGGACGGGACAGCAGGGAUGCGCGAUCGCGUGCGGAGGAUGUGCUUCUUCACGUUCAAGCGGCCGGGGAUCACGGACGGGAACGCAGCCGCGUACCUGAGCGACGGCGACGACGAGAGCGACGACGACGAGAGCGACGGGAGCGACGACGGGAGCGACGACGGGAGCGACGACGGGAGCGCCGAGGAGGAGGAGGAGAACGAGGAGGGGAGCGAGCGCGACGACGUUCGCGGUGACGCUCCCGCGGGGAAGAAGGCGAGGACGCGCGGCGUCGAGAAGGUAGGAGGACCCAGUAGCUAGUACGAUAGCCUCGGCGGCUGAAUACCGCGACGAUCGCCCGCUACCAGGGUUUAGGGUUUAGGGUUUAGGGUUUAGGGUUUAGGGUUUAGGGUUUAGGGUUUAGGGUUUAGGGUUUUAGGGUUUAGGGUUUAGGGUUUAGGGUUUAGGGUUUAGGGUUUAGGGUUUAGGGUUUAGGGUUUAGGGUUUAGGGUUUAGGGUUUAGGGUUUAGGGUUUAGGGUUUAGGGUUUAGGGUUUAGGGUUUAGGGUUUAGGGUUUAGGGUUUAGGGUUUAGGGUUUAGGGUUUAGGGUUUAGGCCUUAGGGUUAGGGUUUAGGGUUUAGGGUUUAGGGUUUAGGGUUUAGGG